UUAUGCCUCAUCGACUGGAAGGGAUUCCUUCCCGUCAAUGAGGCUGUUACACCUCAUUGAUUGGAAGGAAUUCCUUCCAAUCAAUGAGGUGUAA
rnacentral:miRNA from 1 species